UACGGAGGGAGCUAGCGUUGUUCGGAAUUACUGGGCGUAAAGCGCGCGUAGGCGGUUAUUCAAGUCAGAGGUGAAAGCCCGGGGCUCAACCCCGGAACUGCCUUUGAAACUAGAUAGCUAGAAUCUUGGAGAGGUCAGUGGAAUUCCGAGUGUAGAGGUGAAAUUCGUAGAUAUUCGGAAGAACACCAGUGGCGAAGGCGACUGACUGGACAAGUAUUGACGCUGAGGUGCGAAAGCGUGGGGAGCAAACAGG
rnacentral:rRNA from 1 species